rnacentral:rRNA from 1 species
AACGAACGCUGGCGGCAGGCUUAACACAUGCAAGUCGAACGCACCUUUCGGGGUGAGUGGCAGACGGGUGAGUAACGCGUGGGAAUCUACCCUUCUCUACGGGAUAGCUCCGGGAAACUGGAAUUAAUACCGUAUACGUCCUGAGGGAGAAAGAUUUAUCGGGGCAGGAUGAGCCCGCGUUGGAUUAGCUAGUUGGUGGGGUAAAGGCCUACCAAGGCGACGAUCCAUAGCUGGUCUAAGAGGAUGAUCAGCCACAUUGGGACUGAGACACGGCCCAAACUCCUACGGGAGGCAGCAGUGGGGAAUAUUGGACAAUGGGCGCAAGCCUGAUCCAGCCAUGCCGCGUGAGUGAUGAAGGCCCUAGGGUUGUAAAGCUCUUUCAGUGGGGACGAUAAUGACGGUACCCACAGAAGAAGCCCCGGCUAACUUCGUG